UUAUUUAAUUCUGCAGAUGCUGGAGUUGAGCAAGUCAAUCUGGCAAUCAAAUUCUAUUCUUAGUGUAUGCCAAAUUUGAUUAUGUCUCUUAAGGCAUUUAGUCAAGAAUUCUUUAGAGAAGCUAUCAAGUUGACGAAAAGCUAUGUGAAGUAAAAGAGUAAACGGUCGGAGAUGCCCUUGUAGAUCACCUACCCAGCUUUGGAAGGACAUGGGUGGAUAAUUAUCACCGGAUUUGAUCCAAAAAACACAGGGCGUAGUUACCUUAUUCUUUUGAGAAGGCAUUCUUCUACUGGAGAUUCUGAUGACAAGAAGAUCAGUGAGGAGCAAAUGGAAAGCUAUUGCUUGGUUGAUUAUCAAAAAUCGAUGUUGAGAGCUACUGUCACUUUAUUGAAAAUGUUAAUCUAAUUGCAAGUUCUUUGUUUGCUUGUUCUGUAAUGCCAACAUGACGGGUAACAAAGACAAAAAGGUUGAGAGUAAUGCAUGUUUCACGUUGUGUCAUAUGAGAGUAUACCUCCAGCUAAAGAAUAUAGUGACUUUUCGUCUUUCUGUGUGAAUGGUAUGCCUGCUUUUGCAUCUCAUUUGAGAUUUGUUC